GGUGAACGCUGGCGGCGUGCCUAAGACAUGCAAGUCGAGCGGGCCGCGGGGUUUUACUCCGUGGUCAGCGGCGGACGGGUGAGUAACGCGUGGGUGACCUACCCGGAAGAGGGGGACAACCCGGGGAAACUCGGGCUAAUCCCCCAUGUGGACCCGCCCCUUGGGGUGUGUCCAAAGGGCUUUGCCCGCUUCCGGAUGGGCCCGCGUCCCAUCAGCUAGUUGGUGGGGUAAUGGCCCACCAAGGCGACGACGGGUAGCCGGCCUGAGAGGGUGGCCGGCCACAGGGGCACUGGGACCCGGGCCCCACUCCCACGGGAGGCAGCAGUUAGGAAUCUUCCGGAAUGGGCGCAAGCCGGACGGGGCGGCGCCGCUUGGAGGGAGAAGGCCUUCGGGGUGUAAACUCCUGAACCCGGGACGAAACCCCCGACGAGGGGACUGACGGUACCGGGGUAAUAGCGCCGGCCAACUCCGUG
rnacentral:rRNA from 1 species